UACGAAGGGUGCAAACGUUGCUCGGAAUUAUUGGGCGUAAAGCGCACGUAGGCGGCUUAGCAAGUCGGAUGUGAAAUCCCUCGGCUCAACCAAGGAAGUGCAUCCGAAACUGCUGAGCUUGAGUACGAAAGAGGAUCGCGGAAUUCCCGGUGUAGAGGUGAAAUUCGUAGAUAUCCGGAGGAACACCGGCGGCGAAGGCGGCAUCCUGGACUGGUCCUGACACUCAUGAGCGAAAGCGUGGGGAGCGAUCCGG
rnacentral:rRNA from 1 species